UUUGUCUUUUAAAUAGAGACCUGUAUGAAUGGCAUAACGAGGGUUUAACUGUCUCCCUCCCCCAGUCAAUGAAAUUGAUCUGCCCGUGCAGAAGCGGACAUAAACACAUAAGACGAGAAGACCCUAUGGAGCUUUAGACAAAAGAUCAAACAUGUAAAGAAACCAAACCAACCAAAAGGAACACAAAGGCCACAAAACCCAACGUAAAAUGAUCAAAAUGUCUUCGGUUGGGGCGACCAUGGGGGAAAGAAAAGCCCCCACGAGGAACUAAGGGCAAUCCAUUAAGCCAAGAGAUACACCUCUAAGCAACAGAAAAUCUGACCAAAAAUGACCCAGGACACUAAUCCUGAUCAACGAACCAAGUUACCCUAGGGAUAACAGCGCAAUCCUUUCCCAGAGUCCAUAUCGACGAAAGGGUUUACGACCUCGAUGUUGGAUCAGGACAUCCUAAUGGUGCAGCCGCUAUUAAGGGUUCGUUUGUUCAACGA
rnacentral:rRNA from 1 species